GCAGAACAAAACCAGAGCAGAAGAGCCAAUCCGUUAACUCUAAUCCGUUCAUGGCUUCCACAGCCCUCUCCAAUUUCCUCUCCUUCUUUGCGCCAUCAAAACCACCUCCGCCGCCGCCUCCGAAAGCCCAACUCCCCCACCUCUCGUUCCCGUCCGAUUCGAAAAACCGAGAUGGUUUGGCCCCGCUGGUUGCGGCCAACGACGGACAUAAUCCGCUGUCUUCGGUUCCAGAUGACGUGAUCUCGGUGGUGUGCCCGUCUCUUUCCCACGCUAAUAUGUUCUUCUUCCGAUCGGCUUACAACGUGCAGGUGAUCGUGGACGAGAACGAGCCGGAGGAGAAGCUUCUCGGCCGGUUCCGGCGAGAGGUCAUGAGGGCCGGCGUCAUCCAAGAAUGCAAGCGACGGAGGUUCUUUGAGAACAAGCAGGACGAGAAGAAGCGGAAGUCCCGUGAGGCUGCCAAGCGCAAUCGUCGAAGACGCCCCCAGUCAAGAAAUUCAUUUCAGGAUAAGCAGGAAGCCUCCAAGGGCAAGAGAGAAGAAGAGGAUGCAGAGGACAACUGGGAACUUCCUGAAGGAGACCUGCCCUAUUGAUAUCAUGUCAUGCUUGUUUGUUUCUUUGUUAGGAUUCUGCUAUAUUGCUUGUGAGAGGCAUUCUUUCGGAUCUUUCCAUCCACAAUAAUCUCUCUCCAAGUAUUGGAUUCGCAGCCUCAGUAUUUCUGAGAUGUCAUUCUUGAUGUUCUCGAAGGCAAACUGAUCGCUGCUUGUGGGAUUUAAGGCCCGGACCAUCCCCCAGUAUUUCAUAAACUAAAGUGAUAUUUCAUUAGCUUUCAGGAAGAAGAAUCCUCCAUCCGUCUUGCUGCUCUUGUUUUCCAGGGUAUCCGAACAGGAAUCUUGAGCAACGAUCAUCUCAAAGUUGCGAUGAAAGUGUUGGAAUGGGUUUCUAAACCACAUGACAUCUGCGUCCUGCACAAACCCAAUUCAUAAACAUGUCAUUGUUGCAUCAUUUUGGCGUUGUUUACUAUAUGUAAGGAGUUGAAAAUCAUGGAUGGACUCUGGAAAUGAUGUUGUAGCCCAAGC